rnacentral:rRNA from 1 species
AUUGAACGCUGGCGGCAGGCCUAACACAUGCAAGUCGAGCGGAGCGGCGGACGGGUGAGUAAUGCCUAGGAAUCUGCCUGGUAGUGGGGGAUCACGUCCGGAAACGGGAGCUAAUAUCGCAUACUAUCAGAUGAGCCUCGGGCGGAUUAGCUAGUUGGUGGGGUAAAGGCCAACCAAGGCGACGAUCCGUAACUGGACUGAGAGGAUGAUCGGUCAAACUGGAACUGAGACACGGUCCAGACUCCUACGGGAGGCAGCAGUGGGGAAUUUUGGGCAAUGGGGGAAACCCUGAUCCAGCCAUGCCGCGUGUAUGAUGAAGGCCUUCGGGUUGUAAAGUACUUUUGGCAGAGAAGCGGUAUCUAAAGAAUAAGCACCGGCUAACUACGUGCCAGCAGCCGCGGUAAUAC